rnacentral:rRNA from 1 species
GCGUGGGAACAUGCCCAUCAGUACGGAAUAGCUCCGGGAAACUGGAAUUAAUACCGUAUACGUCCUUCGGGAGAAAGAUUUAUCGCUGAUGGAUUGGCCCGCGUUAGAUUAGCUAGUUGGUGAGGUAAAAGCUCACCAAGGCGACGAUCUAUAGCUGGUCUGAGAGGAUGAUCAGCCACACUGGGACUGAGACACGGCCCAGACUCCUACGGGAGGCAGCAGUGGGGAAUCUUGGACAAUGGGGGAAACCCUGAUCCAGCCAUGCCGCGUGAAUGAUGAAGGCCUUAGGGUUGUAAAAUUCUUUCAGCAGGGAAGAUAAUGACGGUACCUGCAGAAGAAGCCCCGGCUAACUCCGUGCCAGCAGCCGCGGUAAUACGGAGGGGGCUAGCGUUGUUCGGAAUUACUGGGCGUAAAGCGCACGUAGGCGGCUAGGAAAGUCAGAGGUGAAAGCCCAGGGCUCAACCCUGGAAUUGCCUUUGAAACUAUCUAGCUAGAGUUCGGGAGAGGUGAGUGGAAUUCCGAGUGUAGAGGUGAAAUUCGUAGAUAUUCGGAGGAACACCAGAGGCGAAGGCGACUCACUGGACCGAUACUGACGCUGAGGUGCGAAAGCGUGGGGAGCA